AUCCCCUUCUCCGCUCGAUCCAGCGGCGGAGCGGCGACUACAACUCUCUCCACCUCCGUUCAGAUCGUGUUUCAUUCUUUCUUUCUCUCUCUUUCUCUCCCUUCUUCUUCUCCUUUCUUCCCCUUCUAGUCUUCCUACCGGCGUUCGUCUCUACCCUGUUCUCUAGUCACGAAGGAGGCAUCACAGCGGCAAGAUUCCUCCAUUUCUGAUUGGAUUUCCGGUGAUUUAUCACCGUUUCUUUUAUAUCUCAUCUUAUGCUGAAGUUUUUGUCAAUCUUCAUUGGCGUCGUGGUUCCCCAACCAUCCGCCGAUCUCCCCUAUCUUGCGUUUCCUUCACYGAUCGAGCAGAGUUGASUACAGCAAGAAGACUGAAGCUCCCCUCUCGAGUUCAAGCAAGACUUGUGCUGGAAUCGUCCCAUCUCCUCAUCAAUCUUUCUGAUACAACCUUCAGUCAGUAUCGUCGUCUGAAAACAAAUCUGUCCGACAUAAAGGAAUCGAUCCUCCAUUGCAUCGUUUCAACCAGGCUAAAUCCGAUCUGGAUGUGGGAAAUGGCAAUGAAGCUAUGCAGAACGGUCCCUGUAAACGCUUGACCGAUGACAGAAAUGGCGGGAUUUCCAUAUAGUGUCGUCCUCUGUUCUUUUCCAUGCAUUAUUAUUUUUUAUUUAUUUUUAUUAAUGCCGGUGUUGAGCUUGAUUCCUCUUCUUUUGUUCUAGUUGUGCUAUCUAUUAUCAGUUGUGUUUAUCA